GAUGAAGAACGCAGUGAAAUGCGAUAAGUAAUGUGAAUUGCAGAAUUCAGUGAAUCAUCGAAUCUUUGAACGCACAUUGCGCCCGCCAGUAUUCUGGCGGGCAUGCCUGUUCGAGCGUCAUUUCAACCAUCAAGCUCUGCUUGCGUUGGGGAUCCGCGGCUGCCCGCGGUCCCUCAAAACCAGUGGCGGGCUCGCUAGUCACACCGAGCGUGUAACUUUACAUCGCUAUGGUCGUGCGGCGGGUGCUUGCCGUAAAACCCCCCAAUUUUUAAGGUUGACCUCGGAUCAGGUAGGAAUACCCGCUGAACUUAAGCAUAUCAAUAAGCGGAGGA
rnacentral:misc_RNA from 1 species